rnacentral:rRNA from 1 species
CCUACGGGAGGCUGCAGUCGAGAAUCAUUCACAAUGGGGGAAACCCUGAUGGUGCGACGCCGCGUGGGGGAAUGAAGGUCUUCGGAUUGUAAACCUCUUUUGUCGGGGAACAAAGGCGCCCACGGGUGGGCGGAUGAGUGUACCCGAAGAAAAAGCAUCAGCUAACUCCGUGCCAGCAGCCGCGGUAAGCCGGAGGAUGCGAGCGUUAUCCGGAUUUAUUGGGUUUAAAGGGUGCGUAGGCGGACAGUCAAGUAAGCGGUAAAAAUGCGGUGCUCAACGCCGUAACGCCGUUGAAACUGGCAGUCUUGAGUGGGCGAGAAGUAUGCGGAAUGCGUGGUGUAGCGGUGAAAUGCAUAGAUAUCACGCAGAACUCCGAUUGCGAAGGCAGCAUACCGGCGCCCUACUGACGCUGAGGCACGAAAGCGUGGGUAUCGAACAGGAUUAGAUACCCUUGUAGUC